rnacentral:rRNA from 1 species
UACGAAGGGGGCUAGCGUUGUUCGGAAUCACUGGGCGUAAAGCGCACGUAGGCGGAUUUUUAAGUCAGGGGUGAAAUCUCGAGGCUCAACCUCGGAACUGCCUUUGAUACUGGAGAUCUUGAGUCCGGAAGAGGUAAGUGGAACUGCGAGUGUAGAGGUGAAAUUCGUAGAUAUUCGCAAGAACACCAGUGGCGAAGGCGGCUUACUGGUCCGGAACUGACGCUGAGGUGCGAAAGCGUGGGGAGCAAACAGGG